GAUGAACGCUGGCGGCGUGCCUAAUACAUGCAAGUCGAGCGAACGGACGAGAAGCUUGCUUCUCUGAUGUUAGCGGCGGACGGGUGAGUAACACGUGGAUAACCUACCUAUAAGACUGGGAUAACUUCGGGAAACCGGAGCUAAUACCGGAUAAUAUUUUGAACCGCAUGGUUCAAAAGUGAAAGACGGUCUUGCUGUCACUUAUAGAUGGAUCCGCGCUGCAUUAGCUAGUUGGUAAGGUAACGGCUUACCAAGGCAACGAUGCAUAGCCGACCUGAGAGGGUGAUCGGCCACACUGGAACUGAGACACGGUCCAGACUCCUACGGGAGGCAGCAGUAGGGAAUCUUCCGCAAUGGGCGAAAGCCUGACGGAGCAACGCCGCGUGAGUGAUGAAGGUCUUCGGAUCGUAAAACUCUGUUAUUAGGGAAGAACAUAUGUGUAAGUAACUGUGCACAUCUUGACGGUACCUAAUCAGAAAACCACUGCUAACUACGUG
rnacentral:rRNA from 1 species